CACACACAGACAGAGAGACACCAGCACAGAGAGACACCAGCACAGAGAGACACCGGCACAGAGAGACACCAGCACAGACAGACACCAGCACAGACAGACACCAGCACAGAGAGACACCAGCACAGACAGACACCAGCACAGACAGACACCAGCACAGACAGACACCAGCACAGAGAGACACCGGCACAGACAGACACCAGCACAGAGAGACACCGGCACAGAGACACCAGCACAGAGAGACACCAGCACAGAGAGACACCAGCACGGAGAGACACCAGCACAGAGACCAGCACAGAGAGACCAGCACAGAGAGACAGCAGCACAGAGAGACACCAGCACAGAGAGACACCAGCACAGACAGACACCAGCACAGACACACA